GGGGCACCAGGGGGCAUCAGGGGGCCACCAACGGGCCACCAACGGGGCCACCAAUGGGCCACCAAUGGGCCACCAAUGGGGCAUCAAUGGGGAAAUCAAUGGGGCAUCAAUAGGCCACCAAUGGGCCACCAAUGGGGCCAUCAAUGGGGUCACCAAUGGGGAAACCAAUGGGACAUCAGCGGGGCCAUCAAUGGGGCCACCAAUGGGCCACCAAUGGGGCAUCAAUGGGCCACCAAUGGGGCAUCAAUGGGGCCACCAAUGGGGCAUCAAUGGGCCACCAAUGGGCCAUCAAUGGGGCCACCAAUGGGGCAUCAAUGGGCCACCAAUGGGCCACCAAUGGGCCAUCAAUGGGCCACCAAUGGGGCAUCAAUGGGGUCACCAAUGGGGCAUCAAUGGGCCACCAAUGGGCCACCAAUGGGGCCAUCAAUGGGGUCACCAAUGGGGAAACCAAUGGGGCAUCAGCAGGGCCACCAAUGGGGCCACCAAUGGGCCAUCAAUGGGGCCACCAAUGGAACAUCAAUGGGCCACCAAUGGGCCACCAAUGGGGCACCAAUGGGGCAUCAAUGGGCCACCAAUGGGGCAUCAAUGGGGCCACCAAUGGGGCAUCAAUGGGGCCACCAACGGGCCACCAACGGGGCCACCAAUGGGCCACCAAUGGGCCACCAAUGGGCCACCAAUGGGGCAUCAAUGGGGAAAUCAAUGGGCCAUCAAUAGGCCACCAAUGGGCCAUCAAUGGGACCACCAAUGGGGUUGUCAAUGGGGUCGACAAUGGGACAUCAAUGAGACAUCAAUAGGGCCACCAAUGGAGCCACCAACGGGGCCACCAAUGGGCCAUCAAUGGGACCACCAAUGGGGUCACCAAUGGAGCCGACAAUGGGACAUCAAUAGGGCCACCAAUGGAGCCACCAACGGGGCCACCAAUGGGGCCACCAAUAUGGCCACCAAUAUGGCCACCAAUACGGCCACCACGGGUGCCACCAACGGGUGCCACCAACGGGGCCACCAACGGGGCCACCAAUGGGGUCGUCAAUGGGAUCGUCAAUGGAACCACC
rnacentral:lncRNA from 1 species